GUGCUCGCUUCGGCAGCACAUAUACUAAAAUUGGAAUGAUACAGAGAAGAUUAGCAUGGCCCCUGCACAAGGAUGACACACAAAUUCGUGAAGUGUUCCAUAUUUUU
ensembl:snRNA Gm25672 predicted gene, 25672